CAACUCUGAUCUCUUUUCAAUUGUCGAUUAAAUCUUUCACCUUUUACUAAAGCUUUCCGUGAAGAGGGAUACUCUAAUGAGUCUAAAAUGAAAAAUGGAUUUCUUUUACAUUUCUAAAAU